GAUGAACGCUGGCGGCGUGCUUAACACAUGCAAGUCGAACGAAGCAUUUGCGACAGAUUUUUUCGGAAUGAAGUUGCUUAUGACUGAGUGGCGGACGGGUGAGUAACGCGUGGGUAACCUGCCUUGUACUGGGGGAUGGCAGCUGGAAACGGCUGGUAAUACCGCAUAAGCGCACAAUGUUGCAUGACAUGGUGUGAAAAACUCCGGUGGUAUAAGAUGGACCCGCGUCUGAUUAGCUAGUUGGUGAGAUAACAGCCCACCAAGGCGACGAUCAGUAGCCGACCUGAGAGGGUGACCGGCCACAUUGGGACUGAGACACGGCCCAGACUCCUACGGGAGGCAGCAGUGGGGAAUAUUGCACAAUGGAGGAAACUCUGAUGCAGCGACGCCGCGUGAGUGAAGAAGUAAUUCGUUAUGUAAAGCUCUAUCAGCAGGGAAGAUAGUGACGGUACCUGACUAAGAAGCUCCGGCUAAAUACGUG
rnacentral:rRNA from 1 species